rnacentral:rRNA from 1 species
UGCCCGUUCUGAACAGCCAGCCGGUUUCUCUUGAUGAUCUUCACCGGUUGUCUCGGGUGACCGGCAAGUUUACUUUGAAAAAAUUAGAGUGCUCAAAGCAGGCGCGACGCCUGAAUAAUGGUGCAUGGAAUAAUGGAAUAGGACCUCGGUUCUAUUUUGUUGGUUUUCGGAACACGAGGUAAUGAUUAAGAGGGACAGACGGGGGCAUUCGUAUUGCGACGCUAGAGGUGAAAUUCUUGGACCGUCGCAAGACGAACUACUGCGAAAGCAUUUGCCAAGAAUGUUUCCAUUAAUCAAGAACGAAAGUUAGAGGUUCGAAGGCGAUCAGAUACCGCCCUAGUUCUAACCAUAAACGAUGCCAGCCAGCGAUCCGGCUGUGUUCCUCAAAUGACACGCCGGGCAGCUUCCGGGAAACCAAAGCUUUUGGGUUCCGGGGGAAGUAUGGUUGCAAAGCUGAAACUUAAAGGAAUUGACGGAAGGGCACCACCAGGAAUGGAGCCUGCGGCUUAAUUUGACUCAACACGGGAAAACUUACCCGGCCCGGACACAGGAAGGAUUGACAGAUUAAGAGCUCUUUCUUGAUUCUGUGGGUGGUGGUGCAUGGCCGUUCUUAGUUGGUGGAGCGAUUUGUCUGGUUAAUUCCGAUAACGAACGAGACUCUAGCCUACUAAAUAGACGUCCCGAUCACUCUCGUCGGGCGUUCUUCUUAGAGGGACAAGCGGCGUUUAGCCGCACGAGACAGAGCAAUAACAGGUCUGUGAUGCCCUUAGAUGUCCGGGGCCGCACGCGCGCUACAUUGAAGGAAUCAGCGUGUGCUUUCCCGUUCCGACAGGAUUGGGUAACCCGUUGAACCUCCUUCGUGCUGGGGAUAGGAUCCUGUAAUUGAAUCCUUGAACGAGGAAUUCCCAGUAAGCGCGAGUCAUAAGCUCGUGUUGAUUACGUCCCUGCCCUUUGUACACACCGCCCGUCGCUACUACCGAUUGAAUGAUUUAGUGAGGUCUUCGGACUGGCGCUCGGAGCGGCCUUCGGGUCGCGCCGGCGUG